CAAAAUAAAUUUAAAAUACUGCUGAAAGUAUUAGUAAAAGAAAGGGAGGAGGGACUACAAGAUAGGGAUGACUCAGCUUCUCUUGAUCCUUGGAAACUCAAGGCUGCCAGUAAAAUGCAUGGGAGGGGUCAGCCACGUCUGUGGGCUUGUAGUUCCUAUAGUUUAUACUGUUGUUCCUGCACGGGUCCUGGGCAAGUACCCACGUCUGCCAGAGUUGUGCUCACUAGGGUACCUUCCCUUCCUUGCCUGUCCAAGGCCUCCCCUGGCCAUACUUGCCUUUAUGGAAUGUAGUCUGGACAGUCUCUCUCCCUCUUGAGACUCCCCAGAUUGAAUUCCCUUGGGCGGUUAGUGUUCCAGCAGAAGAUCUCUUCCAAAUGGGAGAAGAAAAUGAAAUCCCUGAAAACUCUACACACCAAGGACUAGUCUUUGUACUCUCGGGACCUCUUAAGCGUUGAUCGGCUUCAGGGGUACCGCUUGAGUGUCAAGAAGCCAAGUGGAGCUGAAACAGUCCCCAUACACGACUGAUAGCUGACAGCAAAAGCUGAUCCACACACUGGCCUUCAGUCUCAGGGCCAUCAAACUCCAGACUCAUUCUCAGUUUCAUCAAGGCAAAUCUCUUCGUCUCUGAGGACAAGGCUACCUUUCCUUUACGCCCUGAGCCAACACUCCACCCCCACCCCUUCACUCUUGCCUUAUCAGCAUCGAGUUCUCCCACACUCCAAAGGUGCCUCCAGAGGCUGACUCACUCCCUGGAACUGUGACUAGUUAGCUUCAGUCUCUCUUUCCUGCGGUUGUCUCUGUACGCAGGACCCUAGGGAAGCUCAGCGUUAAGCAACAGCUUCCUUCUUCGGGUAGAACCCAGUCCCUGUCGUCUGAGUCAUACGCAAUGAUAGUGUCUCCAUGGCUGGCCCAUCCACCAGAGGACCACUAUUUCACCAACGCCAGCAACUGGAUCUGAGGCUUUCUAGGCCUACGGGCUUAUCCCGAGGGUAAGGCUUAUAGUGCUUUCCCACCAGAGCGACCUGAUUGACCUCUUGAACUAGGCUUUUGUUUCCCUUCCCCCACCAGGGAUGGCCACCUGGCUGGGGCUCUAUUGAUGUUUCUUUUCAGUAACCUACACUAUCUUUGUGGCUUUUCACAGGUCUGGAGGAGCAUCUAGGUUUUUUUUUGUUGUUUUUUUUUUUCCUUAUGCUAACUCAAUAUAUCCUUUUGCUCUUUCAAUAUAUCUUACAGAGACAUCUUCUAUCCCACACGCUUACCAAAACUCCCUAUGCUAUGAUUUUUUAAAUGUAAGAAACCAACUGUAUCAGAGCUGGUCACAAUAUUUCAAGUCUCUAACUCCGGCACAUGGGAGACUGAGGCAGAAUAGUCAUGAGUUUGAGGAUAGCCUGGACUUCAUAGCAGUUUCAAAGCAAGUCUCAAGUACAAAGGAAGACCCCAUCUUGAAGAGGAAACGAGAAGAGAGAAACACUUUAAAAAAAAAAAAACCUGUCGUUGAACAAGAUAAUGACAACCUCUUUGUUUCUCAUUUGUUUGCUUGCUUAGUAUUCUGCUGCAUUUUAUUUAUUUUAGUUGGUUGUGUCGUUUGUCUUGGGGUGAGGCAGGAUUUUACUGUGUAGCUGGGGUGGAACUUGCUCUGCUUCCAGAGUGCUGGAGUCUCAGAGUGGAGCACCACCCCCAGAGGAGCCAUCAUCCCUAAGUGUUAACUAUGUUUCAAGCCAAAGAAAGAUUUGAGAAAGUCUCUGGUUGGCAGACUCAUACCAAGAUCUGAGGAUGGGUCCAAAAAGUAUUUUGUUUCAUUCCAAAAUAGAGAAAAUAUGAUUUUCUGAAGGAAAAAAAAAAGAGGAAGUAGUAGCUAUGGAAAGAGGCUAAUUUAUUUUAGGUCUAGGAUUAUAAACAGGGUGUCUGAAUCAGGUAAACAGACAAGCGAACAACAUUGUCUUACUUUAAAUCAAUCACAGGUCUGCCUCAGUACACCCUCAUUCUGACAUCGGUCCUCUUCACAGUCUUUGUGUUCUGCAGAACAAAACUUCCUUUCCUUUGACAUGAGCAGACUGUACAUGAGAACCAAAUAGUUUUCCACUAUGUAAACCCUUUUAGGUUAGGGUAAUUAUCUGUCUAAAUACACAGAAUGUCAAGUGCAACUUUGCUCUACUUUGAACAAAGGGGAAAAAAAAGUUUUUUGAAAUGUAGUUUUACAAUGUGCACCGAGCUGGGCUUGAACUCACGAACCCCCUGUGCCGCUGAGCAUCUGGGAUCACAGACAGCAGUGUCAACAACACAAGAGUUGACUAAAGACAGUGAGAGUUACCUGCCCACAAAUUGUUAUUUUUGAAAACAAUACGUUGCAAGAUCUACUGUGAAAAGCAGAAAUUCAGGUGGAAAGUUCAACAUGUAAAUGUGUUUGUCACCAAGUCUGACCACUUGAGGAAAUUCCUCUGAAGCUUGAACAUAGACGGAGAGAACUGAAUCCGGUGAGUUGACCUCUGACCCCUACAUAUCUCUUACGGUGGGUGCAACUCACAUUCCUGUGGGCGUGUGCACACACACAUAUGUAAAUACAUGUAUAAAAAUAAAUGUGACAACCUAAAAAUAGAAAAUGUCCAUACUGAAGUGCCAAUGUAGAAAGUAUUGACUUCUGAGACUAAAGUGUACACUCUUUCUCCCAAGCCUAGCUUCUUUCUAAAGAACAUAAUGGCUAGAAGUGCCAGCCUCCAUUGCCUAGUUAGUGUGUGCCCCUCUCUGUUUCCGUUGAUUGGAGCAUAAUGAACACCUGACUCAAGCAGAACCAGAAGUUCCCUUCCAGGGAAUUUGGAAUUGAGAGUCAUAGACCAUACAUCCCUUUUUUGUUUGCAGGAAGUGAGAUCACCCAUACUCUGGGGUUGAGGCAACCACCGUAAGAGUAAUGUCUGGGUUCUCAUACCUGGAGUUGCAGAGGAGUGGACCAGUAGAGGGAGGAAAACAGGGGAGGCAGCCAUAGGCAAGUGCUGGCUCUGGUUAGCCCCUCCUCCCUAACAAUUCCUGUAAAACACUACUGGGAUAUGCUGUUGCUCCAUGAUGACGCUCUCCUAUUUAAAGUCAUGCCACAGAACCUUUAGCUGAGUCUCCAGCAUUAAAGCAAAUGCCCAUUUGUCUUUAGACCUUUGUGUUCCUCUAAAUCUUUCCCUCUGGUGCCUCCUCUUUUGGAAGUCUUGAAACUAUGCCUCUUUAUCUACCCAUCGUGAGAGCUGAUGAAUGGAAGGCAGGUGUGCUCCUCUAAGGAGAGGCAGCUGCUGUUGAGAAAGUGCUUUCUAUUGAUUCUUUCGUUGCUGGUAUAUUCUGAAGCCCACUACAAGAGCACAUAUCUAAAUUCAUUUUCC
rnacentral:lncRNA from 1 species